GUGGUGUUUGGGUUAACGUAAUAUGUUUCCGUGAAAUUUUAGCCCCAAAAAUUAGUUACUUUAGGGGUUGUGUUUUGGUCCUGCAGUUAAUUUAGUGUUUUGUGUUUAUGAACUAUUAUAAAACAUUUCUAGUGAAGAACUGCUGCCAUAAUAUGAAAUGUUCCGAUGAAAUUGGCGUAUGAAAAAUAAACGUGCAGUUCUCACGAUUGGCGUGUGCAUAGACUGCAGUCUCCAGGUCAUCGGGGGACGCUGUCGGCGCAGUGGGUUAUACCUACGACGAAGUCGGAAAGAAGGAGAAUGAAUAUAUUUAAAACAUUCGUGGAACUUAUGAAGGAAGAUAUAACUGAAAUAAUAUUGAAGUUCUGCAGAGUCAUGGCGGUGGCAGAAUAUCACACGACAACGAACUAUGGGGAGUGGCAAACGAAAGGCAAGCAACGCGUAGACCUGUGAAGAAUUGCAGUAAAUAAAAUAAGAAAUGAAGGUACGGACUGAAUUCUCAAAUAUUAUACAUACGACCCCUGGCUUCAAACGGUUACAUGAAAUGAAAGGAAGACAGUGCAAGGGAAAGUUCUUCUCGACACGGUUCUUAUAUUUUGAACAACUGAUUUUGAAUUAGAAACAGACUUUUAUUAUAUAC